rnacentral:rRNA from 1 species
UAGCCCUAAAUCUUGAUGACCCCAAACACAAACAUCCGCCUGAGAACUACGAGCACAAACGCUUAAAACUCUAAGGACUUGGCGGUGCUCUAAACCCACCUAGAGGAGCCUGUUCUAUAAUCGAUAACCCACGAUUCACCCGACCACCUCUUGCCAAAACAGCCUAUAUACCGCCGUCGCCAGCCCACCUCGUGAGAGCACAACAGUGAGCCCAACAGCCCACAGCCCACUAACAAGGCAGGUCGAGGUAUAGCCUAUGAGAUGGAAGAAAUGGGCUACAUUUUCUAAAAUAGAAAACCCAACGAAAAGGGGCUUGAAACCUGCCCCCAGAAGGCGGAUUUAGCAGUAAAGUAGGA